rnacentral:rRNA from 1 species
UACCAGCACCCCGAGUGGUCGGGACGAUUAUUGGGCCUAAAGCAUCCGUAGCCGGUCCUACAAGUCUUCCGUUAAAUCCACCUGCUCAACAGAUGGGCUGCGGAAGAUACUAUAGGGCUAGGAGGCGGGAGAGGCAAGCGGUACUCAGUGGGUAGGGGUAAAAUCCUCUGAUCCAUUGAAGACCACCAGUGGCGAAGGCGGCUUGCCAGAACGCGCUUGACGGUGAGGGAUGAAAGCUGGGGGAGCAAACCGG